GACGAACGCUGGCGGCGUGCUUAACACAUGCAAGUCGAACGGAAAGGCCCUGCUUUUGUGGGGUGCUCGAGUGGAAAACGUGAGAGUAACACGAGUGUAACCUGCCCUUGACUUUGGGAUAACUUCAGGAAACUGGGGCUAAUACCGGAUAGGAGCUCCUGCUGCAUGGUGGGGGUUGGAAAGUUUUGGCGGUUGGGGAUGGACUCGCGGCUUAUCAGCUUGUUGGUGGGGUAGUGGCUUACCAAGGCUUUGACGGGUAGCCGGCCUGAGAGGGUGACCGGCCACACUGGGACUGAGAUACGGCCCAGACUCCUACGGGAGGCAGCAGUGGGGAAUAUUGCACAAUGGGCGGAAGCCUGAUGCAGCAACGCCGCGUGCGGGAUGACGGCCUUCGGGUUGUAAACCGCUUUCGCCUGUGACGAAGCGUGAGUGACGGUAAUUGGUAAAGAAGCACCGGCUAACUACGUG
rnacentral:rRNA from 1 species